CAGGGAUACUCGUGUAUCAGACAUAUCAGACAAAAUUGACUCUUUAGCAAACACUCUACAAGAUACAAGUCGAAAUUUAAACAAAGUAGAUCGGAUGUUGGUAGAGUAUAAGGAACACACAGAUGAUCAAGCUGAAGCCAUGGCGACACUGAGAGAGCACUUAGAGGAGUCCAGCCAGCAUCUGCAGGCACCGCAACUGAGAAAAUCCACUGGUGGGUGGAGCGCCUCCCUCUCCACGCA